CAAUUACAGUUGACAUUCAGUACUAUUUUGCAUUAGUUUCAGGUGCACAGCAUAGUGGUAAGACAUUUAUAGAAUUUAUGAAGUAAUCCUCCUGAUAAUUCUAGCAGCCACCUGGCACCAUACAUAAUUAUUACAGUAUUAUUGACUAAAUCUUGCCACCUCUU